rnacentral:rRNA from 1 species
AUUGAACGCUGGCGGCAUGCCUUACACAUACAAGUCGAACGGCAGCACGGGUGCUUGCACCUGGUGGCGAGUGGCGAACGGGUGAGUAAUACAUCGGAACAUGUCCUGUAGUGGGGGAUAGCCCGGCGAAAGCCGGAUUAAUACCGCAUACGAUCUACGGCUGAAAGCGGGGGACCUUCGGGCCUCGCGCUAUAGGGUUGGCCGAUGGCUGAUUAGCUAGUUGGUGGGGUAAAGGCCUACCAAGGCGACGAUCAGUAGCUGGUCUGAGAGGACGACCAGCCACACUGGGACUGAGACACGGCCCAGACUCCUACGGGAGGCAGCAGUGGGGAAUUUUGGACAAAGGGCGAAAGCCUGAUCCAGCAAUGCCGCGUGUGUGAAGAAGGCCUUCGGGUUGUAAAGCACUUUUGUCCGGAAAGAAAUCCUUGGCCCUAAUACGGUCGGGGGAUGACGGUACCGGAAGAAUAAGCACCGGCUAACUACGUG